CCCUUAGAUGUUCUGGGCCGCACGCGCGCUACAAUGAUGCAUUCAACGAGUUUAUAACCUUGGUUGAAAAGCCUGGGUAAUCUUUUGAACUUUCGUCGUGAUGGGGCUAGACCCUUGCAAUUAUUGGUCUCCAACGAGGAAUUCCUAGUAAACGCAAGUCAUCAGCUUGCAUUGAUUACGUCCCUGCCCUUUGUACACACCGCCCGUCGCACCUACCGAUUGAAUGGUCCGGUGAAAUCUUCGGAUUGAGACUUUGAUUUCUUCACGGAAAACGCUGUUUUAAAAAGUUGAUUAAACCUUACCAUUUAGAGGAAGGUGAAGUCGUAACA
rnacentral:rRNA from 1 species